GUAACGAAACCUUUUGGUAAGUUGCCAUGGUAACUUACGCUGUGAAUCUAACCUGCUCGCUAGCAGGUUUUCUAUGAAAAACUCUGCGUUUUCCUAGCAAUCCCCACCCUCUUUCGGUUCUUGAAACAGUUUGCAGAGACGGGGUGUCCUUUCCUGGGUUGGCCAAUCGAUUACGAGCAAAAUAUAAUUCGCAUAGCCUUACGCCAGGAGAGGAUUUUAAGACCGCGAUUGGAUGUACUUCAUUCCCCGAUGAAUACCUACGCGAACGUUACAGUUUUUAAUCACAUUCAAUAAUUUAUCUCACCAACAUUCUCCAUCCAUACAUUGCUUAUGUUACACACCGUGGACGUGCUCUCUCAGAACUGACCAAAUGCUUAGCGUUGCUCUCCGUUUCUUUGCCAACGGGAGUUCCCUCUACAACAUUGGCGAUGCAGAACAUCUCGGCAAAGCAACAGUCUGCCGAGCCAUAAGAAAAGUGGCCCUGGCACUGAAAGGCCUACUGCAGACCUACGUUGUCUUUCCUGGGCACAAACCUCUAAGGACCAUCAAAGAGGAAUUACACAUGAUUUCAGUUGACUGAUGAAGCACACAUUCAGUUUAAAUCAAUUAAGAAAUUUGAAAUCAUGUGAAUGACAAUGUUGCAAUCUCAGACUGGGAUGAGUAAAUCCUUUCCAUUUUGCAGGAUUUCCCAAUGUGAUUGGCUGCAUUGAUGGCACCCACAUCCCCAUCAUAGCUCCAUCCAUCAAUGAAGGAGACUAUGUGAAUAGGAAGUCAUUCCACAGCAUUAAUGUGCAGAUUAUAUGUGAUGCAGCACAUUUGAUUUCAAAUGUGGAGGCCAAAUGGCCUGGCUCAGUACAUGACUCAAGAAUAUAUCGCGAGUCUACCAUGAGCAACAGAGUUGCAAAUGGAGAGUUUCAUGGCGACAUGCUUGGUGACAGAGGGUACCCAUGCCAGCCCACUCUGAUGACCCCUUACCAUGACCCUUAGCCGGGCCCUCAGCAGUGGUACAAUGUGGCCCACUGCAGGACUAGAGCCCGGGUGGAGAUGACCAUAGGCAUUCUUAAAGCCCGGUUCCAGUGCCUACGUAGACUGAGGGUAAAACCAGAGAGGGCAUGUGAUAUUAUUGUGGCAUGUGUUGUUCUUCAAAAUACUGCCACUAUUAGAGGAGAGCAACACCCUGCCGUACAAAACGACCCUGAUGACGACCAUCCCCUCCACCCUGCAGAUGUCCAAGAUGGGAGAAAAGUCAGAGACAAACUGUGCCGCAUACACUUCCACCAACCCUGGCACUGAAACACAAAUCAUUACAAUUUCAUGUUGUCUUCUUUAUUGCCUACAAAUGGAAAUGCAACAAUUAAUAUUACUAUAUUGUUCUGACAAUUAACACUCACUCACCCGUGACCAUGCACCCACCUGCAGCUGGUGUUCUGGCAAUUUAAUUUCUAGAUCCGUCUUCUUUAUCUUCCGCCCCAAAUACACCAUCUCUUGGUCAGUUUUCUCCAUUUGUUUUAUCAAAUGGAGUUUGUUAAACCCGUUACCUGGAAUACCCCCCAGGUAGCGGGUUUAACAAACUUUAAGCCUAACCCUGAACUCUGAGUUGAGUUACUCUAAAAUGGGAAAGUCCGACUUUUCGGUUACAGAACAGCUGAUUUGAAUUUGUUAAAUCAACUCGGAGUACAUCCACUCUGAGUUAAGCGCGUGCAUGAGUACUAUGAAAAGCCAACAUCAGUGGAGCUCCGAUACUAGGAUACACCACGGAAACGGGCAACAAAAUUUUUUUUCUUAUUUCACCGCAAUGGAACUGGAAGUUUUAAUUAUGAUUCCUUGGGUGGGAGAAAACCAAUUUUUUUGGUUAGUUUUAUUUGUUUUUAUUUAUUUUUUAUUUUGGUUAGUAUUAGGAUUCAUUCGUCAGGAGGAACCCUGUUGUAAUUGUUGGUAUUAUUAUUAGUGGCCAAGCAGCUAAGCUGCAGAGCACCCAUCGUUUUUGUUAGUUUUAUAAGGGGGCAAGCAGCAGCGAAGCUGCUUUUGGCACCUAUUGUUUUUGUUAUUUU